GAGAGCGGUUUAAAGGAAAGACCUUCAGGGAUGGGAAUAUGAAUAAUGAGAUGUUCAGUUUAAUUAACAGCGCAGCUCUUCAGAAGAAUACAAAUGACAUCACACACACACACACAUACACACACACACUUUGGCGUCCUUCAGUCGGGAGAGGAGACAGAAUUGAUGGCGCAGUCUGACCGAAUAAAAGUGGAGACAGAGUUGGCCUAGACUUCCUUAGUCCCAGCCACAGAUUCCAGCUCCUCCUGGGGCAUUCCCCAAUAUUCCCAAGCCAACUAUAUGAUAUAAUCCUUCCAGAUGUUCCUUGGUGUUCCCUGUGGGGCAUGCCUAAUACAAUCUCUAAUCUCUAGCUGGAACCAACCAGGGCCUUCCUUGUAAGGUACCCAAACCACCUCAACUGGCUCCUCUCGAAUGUAAGGAGCAGCAGCUGUACUCCAAGGUUCUCCUGGAUUGUUGAGCUCCUUACCUUAUUGCGCAAAUCCAGUUCCUGGAUGCAUGGAUGGAUGGAUGGGUCAAUAAAUGAGGAACUGGAUGGACUGGUGGAUUGAUAGAUAGUCGGAUGGGUGAAUCAAUGAAUAAAGUGAAAGAAAAGAUCCUAUCCAUCUCUCCUGGUCCUCCUGCCAAAUGUAAUUGAAAGCACAGCUGCUUCACAUGGACACAGGUGCUUUCAUUUUUUCGUUACGAGAUGGAAUAAGAAUGAAAUGAAGGUCAAACCCAAUGAGAAGGGCUACGUCCCAAACCACACAGUGUAGUACUACAUAGUGUGUCACAAUAAAACACCAACAAUAGUACAGACUAUUUAUGAGCAGUGUGCCAUUUGGGAAGUAGUUUCAUGUUCGCAGGUGUUGUCGAGAUUAGACUAAUUAUCUACAGAUUUGAUCUACUGAAGGUUCUAAUGGUACGUCAUGUGGUAAUGUGGUUUUGAAGUUCUAAGAAUUGCGGCCCAAACAUUCUUAGAUCUCAUUGAUAAUGCAUAGAGAUCACUCUCCAGCUGGCAUGACACACACACACACACACACACACACACACACACACACACACACACACAUAGGCCACCAUCCAACGCCACAGCUGGGUAUGUUUCAAUCAUGAGGACACACACACAACCACGUCAAACACUUUGAUUUCAGUCCAGACUUCAUCACCUUAUUAAAAUAAGGUCUCGUUAGUGUGGGUGUGUUAAUUUUACAUACUAGAAAUAACACAAGGUCACAUGCUCAGGCUUUUGGUGCUUGGACCCGGAUCUUUAAAUGGAUAAGUUUCUCAUUCUCUCAUGUUGUACGAGAUUCUGUCCAUCAUAAACUAUAGACUCGUUUAUCUAAACAUGAGGCUAGUUGAUAAGUAGGGUUUACCGAAACAAGCUAAAAAUUAGGCUAGUCAUCUGACGACAUGUAAGGUUUAGCGGAAUACACAAUGUUACUUAUUGGGGUUUAGCUAAAUGAGGUUAUAUGAUGUUCUUGGGUACGAGGUUUAGAUGGAUUGUGGAGCUAGUUGAUGAGUAGGUUUUAGCUAAAUAAGGUUAUUUGACAUGAUGUUAGAUUUAGCUAGGUUUAGCCAAAAGGGGUUAAAUGAGGUUAAUUACUAAAUUAUAUUUAGAUAAAUUGGGUUAUAUAAGGCAUAUUAUUAGCUGAUGUUUAGCUUAAUGAGGUUAUACAAGCCAAUGGGUAUGAAGUUGAGGUUGAGAUCUGAGUCUUAGCUAAAAAAAAAAAACUAUAAUGCUAAUUGAUAAGUCAGGCUGAGUCUUUACAUAAGGCAAAGUAACAACUGAGUUUUAGCUACGUAAGGUUAUAUGAAGCAAACUAAAAAAUAAGGUUUAGCAAUUUGUGUUAUGAGGCAUAUUAAUAACUGAUCUUUAGCUAAAUGAGGUUAUAUGUUGCUAAUUGAGCUUAAAUUGAGCUACAUGAAGCUAAAUGGCAUUGAAGACUCUAAGCUACGUGUGUGAGGUUACUGUUUUACACUCUGUUGUUUUAUGAAGCCUUUCCUUCGCUUGAUACAUG